GUGAGGAAUUUUCCGCAAUGGGCGAAAGCCUGACGGAGCAAUGCCGCGUGAAGGAUGAAGGCCUAUGGGUUGUAAACUUCUUUUCUCAGAAAAGAAUUAUGACGGUAUCUGAGGAAUAAGCAUCGGCUAACUCUGUGCCAGCAGCCGCGGUAAGACAGAGGAUGCAAGCGUUAUCCGGAAUGAUUGGGCGUAAAGCGUCUGUAGGUUGUUUAAAAAGUAUUCUGUCAAAGAUUAGGGCUUAACCCUAGAUAGGCAGAAUAAACUUUUAAGCUAGAGUUUGGUAGAGUCAGAGGGAAUUCCCGGUGGAGCGGUGAAAUGCGUAGAUAUCGGGAGGAACACCAAAGGCGAAGGCACUCUGCUGGGCCAAUACUAACACUGAGAGACGAAAGCGAGGGGAGCAAAUGGGAUUAGAUACCCUGGUAGUCC
rnacentral:rRNA from 1 species